CUCCCACUCACCAGGCUGCAACCUCUGCUACAGCCCCGCGCCAUCAUGAGAUGUGAGUUGUUUCCAAAGAAGCUUAAAUCUGCGUUUUACGUGUGGAAGUUUGCAGCUGUAAUGGGAUUACGGUGUCGGCAGAGGGAGGGAAGUUUGCAGCUGUACUGGUUUGGGGGGGGUAGGAAGCAGCUGUUAAAAUAGAGGACUAAUGGUGAUUAAUUCUUAUUAUGUGUUUGAAGAUCGCACAAUGAGUUCAGGACCCAAACCUUCCCGCAGGGAAUAAACUGAAGGAGGAGGAUUUAAAAAGAGGGAAAAUAGAAGGGGAAUUUUAAUGUACGUUUGGCCUAAGUGGCCUGGUCUUAAAUCACUUGAUUAAUAUUUAAGCAUAAUUUAAAUCAGUGUUAUUAAGACAAAAAAAUAUCUAGCUCGGGAAACCUGUAAUUAAUGGGUGUUUAUGCAGAUUGGGAGAUCACCUGCACUCUUUCAAAAGUGCAUGCACAGGGACCAGACAGGAUGAAGACCCCAUCCCGCAUCCCAAUCUGUUCACGAGCCAUGGUCCAGCACUGAAGCUCCAGCAGCAGGAACAUCCCAACCUGACCUCAGCUCAGUGUACAGCCCCGGGGGAACCUGCUCCGUUUCCCACAUUCAGGGCAAUUCACAUCAGAGCCAGGUUAUUUGCUGCAAUAUUGCGUCUGAGUCCUACAGCCAGCUUGCAGAGAAAUGCAAUGUGCUGGGUAUUCUGAGGCUUCCCCAGAGCACAGCAGGUAGAAGAUAUGAGAUUUCUAUUUAUAUACUGCAGCCUGGCCAAGGAAGUGACAAUUUAACGGCAAAGGUAAGGGGAUGGGGUGUGAAGGUGCCUGCAAAGGCAGUGGUGCAGGCAGUGCAAGGUCCCCUGAGCUCCUGGGGGGCAGUGACCCACUUCGGACCAUGACGGGUCCCUGAGAGUGCCCGACCCUCUGUCUUCUCUCAGCUCAUUGACUUUGUGGCUUGACAACAUAGCAUGGCUCCUGCAGUCCUUCGGCAGAUCAAGAAAAACAAAGAAAAAUUAAAGAUGGUGAACAGCAGCUAUUAGGGUUGGAAGGGCAAACCUACAACAUGAAGAUCAUGUGGAUUCCACACUGGAGACCAAAAUAUCUCUUUUUACUCCUAGAUGAUGCAGAACUCGAGUUGGGAUAUUUUCAGCCAUGAGGUACGUGAUAAAGAUUAGGAUGGGAUUAUCCUCUGACAGCAACAGGUAGGGGAAUGGGGUAGGAUGUUGUUUAAAUAUUGGAUGCUCUGCCACGGGGGCAAAGCAUGGGCCCUUUGCAGAGCUCAGACAGCUAGAAAAUCCCAUGCUGGUCUCUGAACACCUCUGAUUUGGACUGCAGGCUUUGUGGGAGGCUUGGGUUUCAGCAGUGUGUCCAUGUUAUAAUUAAUAAGCAAUUUCUGUUUGAAUGGUGUGUUUUGUCUUCAUUUGAGCACGUUCUCCGCAAAGACAAAGAUCAAGACAAACCUACUCAGAACACAACUGAGAUAAAAGGGAAUCAUAAAAAGAGACAGAUAGAGGAAAAGAAAGAACAAGGAAAAAGUGAAGACAAAGAACAGGGAGACACCAAAGACUACGCAGAACAAAGAUAGGCAAAAUGAAAAGACAAAGAAAAGAAAAGACAAAGAACACAGAUGAUAGAGCAGCAGAAAAUAUGCAAGUGAGGCACAAAGGAAAGAGGGGGAGAAACAGACACUGAGAACAAAGGGCAGAGAACAGAG
rnacentral:lncRNA from 1 species